ACAACGAUGUGUCAAAUAGUCGCAGUACUCGAUCAAGUAUAAUUAUAAUACUAACUUUUACUCUUGAUCGCUGAUGAGUGUUUGCUUUCAGGCGUACUCAUCGAAAUUUCUGGAUUUUUAUCAGUCCAUUGCUCGAUAUUAUCGUGAUCAAGAUAAGACAACGAUAAGUACGGUUCUAACAUUCACGAUUCAUCGAAAGGAUUUACAUAACGAUGCAUGUAUCACGCACCUGUUAUCGCACUGAAAUAUUUAGAAAAAUAUGUACGAUGAAGGAAAUUAAUAUUUUAACGACUGGGAUCAUCUGUUCGUCGCGAAGCUUAUACGAAUAAGUUUCAACGUAUCUGUACCAUGUCGAAGCAAAUUGUUUCCCCAUAAUUUCGUGAGGGCAACACGUCAUCCUCGCAGUGCAAUGUGUCUCUUCAAAGCGCACCACCAUUUUGAUUCGCAACGACGGUUUCAAAAUUUCGUCACGGCUGCUAGCUGUUCGUGAAACAACGGUGCACCGGUACGUGACGACCUUUACUUGUCCAAUGACUGUCAUGUUUAACAAUAUGUAAAGCAACUUGGUCGAGGAUACUAUUUUUCUUUUAACGAUAAAGAAUCUGAUCUUCCCAUCAAUACGCACUACGCUGUGGUAUACGUAGAUAAAAAACGAGAAGUAAGAAAUAUCUUCAACGACUGAAAAUUGCUGAAGUUUGUUAACUUUUUUAGUUCUACAUGUACGUAAUCCAUUUUUUCUAUGCUACACUACCUGUUUUAAAUUCAUUAUUCUUUUCAUCAACAACUACUGCUAUACAAUAUCCAUGGCAGUAAAUGUAGAACAAAGAGUACGAACACAGCACACAAUUGCUAGAUAAGAAUUCGUCGCAAAUAUUCUAUCGUUCGCAUUGCUGAUCUAGAAAGCACGAGAAAGGAAUGGUUUCGGCUAGUUCCCUCGGCUGUCGCAUUCCCAGCAUCCCGUUAGAAGUAUCGUAACGGUAAAAGCAACCGGUAGAUCCUUGCAUCGAUCCUUGAAACAUGAACCAACGCUGCAUCAUACUAACGUAUCUCAGCUCAAAGCUGUAAUACAUGAAGUCAAAUUUUGGAAGACUGCACGUGCGUGAAACCUUGGAGCCGUUAAAGAUUUAUACAGCGGUGAGGAAAAGUAACUUGAUACGAAGAUACGAAGAUACGUGUUCUUUUUCAAGAAAUGUUUUCACUGUACGUUUUUGCAUGGAUACGCUACAUACAUAUUAUUCGUUUAAAGUUAUUUAUUGACUUGCGAAUGGUGCAUGCUACAAAUUUAUUACCACUUAAUAGCAAAUAAAGUUGCAGCAAAAACGAUCCAAGAAGGAAUUUCUCGAUUCGUUCACCUUAAUCCAUACGUAGAAAUAAUAACGUAAAAUUGUCGCGUGAUCAUUUUGUCUGGCUGGAAAGGCAACACGCAGUGCAAUAUAAAACGAAAUGAAUGAAUCAGGGGGGAAGAAGCAGGAAAUAGCAGGUGGAGCUGACGGUCAGGAACAGGGAGACAUGCAUCAGUGGUCACGUGUUUUUCGACAAAAUUUAAACGCUCUGUUACUAAACAAAGUGCAUAAUUGACUGGGCCCAGAGUACAUAAAAAUGUGAAGUCGAAUUUAUUCACUUAGGCACUUGGGACUAACGAUCUAUGUUGGAAACUUCGUUGCACGUGUAUCUUUCUCGACUUGGUGGAAACGUCAGUGGAAUACGAAACUAGGCAAGUGCACCUGAAUCAUUGUUUUCCCUCGCGUAUCGGCGACCUGAGCUGUGGCUACGAGUCUAGACACAGACACUUCGCGGUGCUGUUCGAUUUCGUCACUGCGAGAAAGUAAGAGCCGCCUAUCUGUUGUCACGGUCAACGAACUCGGGACAGCUAAGUACUUUACCUUCGAUUUGGGGAAUUGAAACUUUCACACGAACACUCAAGAAUUAACGAAUUUGAAAACUUAAGAAUUUAAAAAUAUUGAAACACCAAAACUUCAAAACGUAUUUUGGGAUGCUGGAAUUUGUGAAUAUUUAAACUGUGAAACCUUGUAAUCCUUGACUCCCUAUCCAUCGGAACUUCAUUAACUGACCACUUUCACACCUACUCAUCGUAAAGACAGAACCGUACAUGAUGUGUAACAGAACUGCACAUGACGUAUAAAUUAUAGCGAUUAUCGUAGCGUAGUUAAACAUACUAAGUGGUCAGGUGUACGUUCGAACGAUGAAAUAAUGAAACAAGAUGAAAAUAUAUAGAGGUAAGAGGCUCGUCAACGGAUUUACAAUGGAGAUUACAUUAGAAUGGAGCGUUGGCACCUCGAACCAUAAAGUGCGGCCAACGACCUGUCUCUCCUGAACAAAAGGACAGGAUCGGAGGAAAGAAAAAUCUGAAUACUCGAAAUACAGUGCCAUUAACACCUUUAAACAUUUAAACUUCUUGCUAUUGAAUUCGUUUAUUGCUUUCAUUCUUUUCAAAUUCUUAUCAGUGACUUAUCGCAAUGUACAACUAAGAUUAUCAAGGUUAAUGUUAACAAUAAUGGAUCGAUACUUAAUCAUUUAAUGCGUCGUAGCUACGAAAUUUCUUGAUACUUAUAGACAGUGGAAAAUUCGCAUAGUUGAUAAUCAGUGAAAAAUUUUCAAUUCUAAUGUCAAACAGUCAACGUAAAAUCUUCCUAGUGCCUCAAAGUCAACACUAAUUUUCUUAGUACCGGCAGUUAACGCACAAUUCUCCUGGCAUAUAAUAGUCAGCGCAAAAUAUCCUUAGCAAGAUAUAGUCAGCGCAAAACACCUCUAUUACAUUAUAGUCAGCGCAAAGUAUCCCUAUUGCAUUAUAAUCAGCGCAAAGUAUCCCUAUAACACAAUAGUCAGCGCAAAAUAUCCCUAUUGUAUUAUAGUCAGCGCAAAAAGCCCUAUGACGCUAUAGUCAGUGCAAAAAGCUCUAUGACGCUUUAGUCAGCGCAAAAAUCCCUAUGACACUAUAGUCAGCGCAAAGUAUCCCUAACACACGAUAGUUCAUACAAAAUUCCCCUAUCACAUUACAACCAGUGAAAAAUACGCCUAGUACACGACACUCGAAGCAAAAUUCCUUUACUAUCAGAUAAAAUUCUUUAGUGCGUUAUAAUCAGCACUAGAUUUUUUAACACGUAGUACUGAAUGCUGCUUUGACACAAAAUAACACUAAACUUUUACAGCGCGAUAUACUCAGCGUCCAACAGUUAACAUCAAAAUUCCACAGCAUUACAAGUGUACGUUACUUCAUCGUGGAUUAUGGUGGCACAGAGUAACGUGUACGAGUUGUUCGUUAACGCACUCACGUACGGUAGUAUCAUUAUUUCACAGGCAGUUUAAUAUUAAUUGGAACAACCUUCGUGUGAUCAUCGUCAUCAACCGCUUUCAACGAUUAGAUUGAAUCGUGGGAUGUGAUUUUGUGCGUACGGUGACAUACUGCGCUAUUUAAUAUCUUUCCUCUUUAUCGUUCGCUGACUCUGCGUCUUUCGUUUCACUUCGAUUGUAGUUUAUAAUAUCGAGUAUCUCGAUGACUAAAAAUUCAACGGAGUAAGUCGAUUUUCGAGCAGAUCGAAGACACUGUUGCUGUGGUUGCAAAAUUGCCUUUAUUCAUAACAAAUUUGGAGUCAGUAAGAGAAAAUAGUUGUGCUAUAUAACGUAAAAAAUAAAUGUAAUAAUAAUAUUAAUAACUGGCAAAGAACAGUGAACAGACGUUUCAAAAAUUUCAUUUAUAAAAUUGCUUCGUUAAUGGCUUAUUCGCAUCUUGGAAAAGUCCUUGUAGUUUUGUUGCCAUUCACAUCAUAGCAAUAAUUACACUGACAACUGAGACGACCAUGGUUACAUAAUCGCGGAAAAAGGAUCGUUCAUUCCCAUGUACGCGAGAGUCGAUAUUGUGAGACGAGAAUCGAAUUGCCGAUGACUCAUGCGAACGAGAUCGUACGACCAAGGACCCCGGGUGAAUCGUUAGCCUCGUUCCUCUGUCACGAUUAAGGACACGCCAGUGUUUGUUCCGUAAUUAAUUCAUCAGCUGAUCGAAACCGGCUUCAUUAACAUCCUCCACAAGUAUAACUAUCUGAUCGCACAGAAAUAUUACGCGCCCCUCUUUAUGUUUAAUUAAAUAACCUAGGCAUUGAAACAGAUGCACAAAUGUCAAAGCGUAGGCUGUGGUAGACAAGAUGGCGCAUUAUGCUUGCUAAUGACUGGACUAUGCUAAUAAGGAUCUUUGUAGAAUCAGCAGCAACACGAACUUGUAAAGUAUAUUUGAAAUAAUAGACGAACUGAUAAAUCAAUCGUACGGAUUCCCACCGACGAAAGAAACGACACGAGGAAAGCAGGAACACCGUGUGAAAUGUAUGUCGUAUAUUGUUUGACCGACGUUCUAUCACUCGAACAUGUUCUGGUCUAACGCUGUUUAUAAAUAAUGUCAAAUACUGUAUGACUAUUGAGAGUGGUGCCACUAAUGUAAGUCCAAUGAAUGGGUUACUUGUUCUGGAUGCUAUUAUUAAAUAAAUAAAAAUCAGACAUCAGUGUGUUACACAUGUACAUCCACUACCUAAGGAAAUUGCGUUAACUGAUUCACUACUGUCAGUACAAUAUUAUUAUAAACUAUAUCAGUACGAUAUCGUAAUCAAUGGUUUAUCAUAACUACAGGUAAAAAAAAAUGGUAAAAAAUGAUUCACUCCAGGAUAAACAGUCGAAAAAAAUUAUUCGGACAACAUGUUAUAUUUAUAAUUAAAGAACACAUGUGCUUAAGAAGAUCUUCAUGCAUCAUACUUGCAUCAGCAGAUUACAUUCGAAAGUACCGUUACCCGGCAUCAAUUAUUUUCACAGAAUUUUUCAAAUCUUGUAAUUUAUAAUCAUCGUUACGAUGUAAUUUCUCUACCACAAACUACAAAAAUAAAAUACCUUAUUAGCAUUGCAAAAGAUUAGUAAGUACCCAUCAGCAGAACCACCGAUAGAGUUUGUGCAGUGGAGCCUCUUUAUAUCACCACGAGUUGUACGGUCACGCAUUAUAUUACUGUACAUUAAACGACCAAGAAUUGUACUACCAUUAUGUAGUUAAACACUGUAACUUCACAGAAUUUGAUACCUGCUACUAUAUAUGAUUCAGUUAAUUUUUUAAAAAUUUGAAAUCUCAAAGAUGGAGGCCUAGGGCAAGAAUCCCAUUUGUUCCGUACUAACGACGAUACUAUCAAUAAGUAAAUACUAACACCGUCAAAAGAUGAAAAGGGUUCACUGAUAUGUAUGAACCCCGCAUCACGAAAUGCAGGUGAAGAUAUUAUAAUGGCGUUGAAAACAUGAAUACGGAACUAAUAUGUAAAGCAUAUGUUGCUGAAGUACUAUUUCUCGUUGACCUUUUAUUCAGUGAUUCAUAUAAUACUACAUGUAAACACAAAGCGGGACAUAAGCCCAUUGCAAACGCUACAUCGUUCUGCGAUUAAUGAUUUCAAAAUCGAUAUCAACGAGAGGAACGGUUGAGGGCUUUUUCGCCGAUAAAAACAGAAGGCCAAAAGUUGAUCUACCGGUUAUUCCAUUACUACUUCGUUCAGUUAUUGAAUACUGCUAAAUACUUGCUAAAUUGUAUAAUGAUCUAAUACGAUCAUAGGUGCACAUUAUCGUUAAGAUAACAAUUAACUUAUGCAGACAUUCAGAUCACGAUACUAUGUUAUGUACUGUUGUUCGCCAAUGAUGGAUAACCACAGAAAGUUCUUAUAUAAAGGAAGUGUCUGUUUUCAAAAUAGUUGCAUUGUACAAGAACUGAAAAAUGAAAAGCGUGUAAAGAGGUAAAGUUACUCACCGAAUCGAAGAACACAAGAACGGUCCGACCGGAACGACGUCUGACAUGCAACUGACGCUUCGACGCUUCAGUUCCACCGAAUCGGCAAUUUUCGUGUGUGUUCGGACAUGCCACGCGGCAAACAGCAAUCACCUGGCAAAUCGCAUGGCAGAAAUUGAAGCAUGAUUAUUAUCGUAACAACAGGUGGUAACAAAUUUGAUAAAAAAUCCCCUUAAAUAUUUGAACGGUUUCGAUCACUCCUUGUAUGCAGAAUAACCUUACAAACGAAUAUUGUGACUUUGAUUUACGAUCGUGUAGUUACGAUCGCGGUAAUAAACCAACCGCUUUACGUUCGUACGUUACACUUCACCUACUUUUUAAAAUGGUAUCUUCACAUGUUGACAUAACAUUAUCGUGCUACGUAAUCUCAGAAUUUUUAAUUAACUAUCUCAAAUGUAUUUUUAAACGUAAGGAUACCACGAUGAUGCUAACCAGGAGUGUUAAUUGUUAUACAACGUAAAUAUUAACUGUUGAAGUAAAAAAGGAUUCGAAGUAUAUUUGCGAAAUAAAUGAUUUGAAAUAACGCAUGAUAUGUACAGUACUCGCGAGAAACAUCAAGUUUCCAUAUUUAAUUGCUUAUAUCCAAGGAAAAGUUUUUUCCAAAAUACUAGUUUUCACUCAAUGGAAAUUUAUGUUGCCCGAAGGUGUACAUUUGCACGGCAUAAUUCUGGAAGGUGUAAAGUACGUUAUCGUUCUCAUGUCACUUCCUACUAUAUCGGUUAGAACGACAUUUUCUUUUGCGAAAAUGUUAUGAACUGAAAAUAUGUGCUCUCAUUAAAUGCACCAUUUGGAAUUUCAAGAAUCGUCAUUAAACGCGCGUGGAUUAAGUAAGCAUAUAACGGUAAGUAUAUAUUGUAAGUUCUACAUUAUCUACAUUAAUAAAAUUUGUUGUCAUUCUUAUAUCAUUUCCUAUAUCAUCGACGAGAUACAGUAUAAUCUGCAAACUGUUCUGAACACAUAAUUUGCACCUUCAGAUCCACGGAAUAUAUUGCAAACAGCAUAAAAAUGAUAUUAAUAAAUAUAUAAUUAAUAUAUAGCAUAUUAAUCAUUAUUAAUUAAAUUUUUAGCAAAAUGGAACAAAUGGCGUCAUCUCUCCGGCGAACAGGGUGAACUACACACUUUUGAAACUGCAGUUUAAUUAGUUCUCAUCUUCCACUAGAUGACAACACAUGUAAAAAUUAAACCUACACCACCUAAUGUUCAAAAAAGAAAUUAAAAAAGAAAAUAUACAACCCUUUAAAUAUCAAUUUAAUAUUGUAUUAAAUUCUUAGAAUAAAGGAAGCGUUGUUACACAGAAUUUUACAGUAAAUUCUAUAUAAAUGUAAUAGCAUUUAUUUUAUUCGAAUAAAAUUCGUUAUAUUCAUGAUAUUAAUACUUUCA